GGAGCAUCAUGAGUCAUAGCACAAACAAUCUCAUGUGAAGUAACACUAGCCAUUACUCUCCUCUCUGUAUUACUAAUAAAUGGCUCCUUUACUCUAUCUACCCUUAUUACUACUCAACAGUUCACAUGACUACUACUACCGACAUGACCCCUAGCAAUAAUGUGAUUCAUCUCAACACUAGCAGAGACCAACCGAACUCCGUUUGACUUAACAGAAGGAGAAUCAGAACUUGUAUCAGGCUUCAAUGUCGAAUAUGCCCUUUCACCUUAUUUUUUAUAGCUGAAUACACAAAUAUUAUUAUAAUAAAUGCCCUAACAGCAACCUUCUUUAUAGGGGCAUUACUCAACCCUUCCCUUCCUGAAAGUUUUACACUCAGUUUCACCCUAAAAACCAUUAUUUUAACUUCUAUUAAUUUGAGCAUCCUAUCCACGAUUUUGCUAUGAUCAAAUUAUGCAUCUUUUAUGAAAAAGCUUCCUACCCCUCACUCUGGUCCUAUGCAUAUGACAUAUCUCCCUUCCCAUUAUCACUGCAUGUGUACCAACCCUAAUCUAAGAAAUACAUUUGAUAAAAGAGUUACUUUGAUUGAGUAAAUAAUAGAGGUUUAAAUCCUCUUAUUUUUAGAACCAUAGGACUUGAACCUAAUCCUAAGAAUUCAAAAUUCUUCAUGCUACCUUUACACUGUGUCCUAAAAAGUAAGGUCAGCUAAAUAAGCUAUCGGGCCCAUACCCCGAAAAUGUUGGUUUAUAUCCUUCCUGUACUAAUUAAUCCCCUAACCUCCUUGACAAUCUACCUCACCUUAUUUUCUGGAACAAUAAUUACACUAUUCAGCUCCCACUGACUACUUAUUUGAGUAGGCUUAGAAAUAAGUAUGCUGGCAAUUAUUCCCAUUCUAAUGGAUAAAAGGUAUCCCCAAUCCACAGAAGCUGCAUGCAAAUAUUUCCUAAUUCAAGCCACCACAUCAAUAAUCUUAAUAAUAGGCACGGUUAUUAAUUUUACAAACUUAGGCCAAUGGACCCUAUCCAAUUCAUGCAAUCAAAUCUCAUCAUUUAUAUUCACAAUAGCAUUCUCAAUAAAAAUGAGACUUGCCCCAUUUCACCUUUGAGUAUCAGAGGUCACUCAAGGAAUUGCACUUAAAUCAGGACUAAUCCUACUAACAUGACAAAAAAUUGCCCCAAUCUCCAUGCAUAUCAAAUUGCAUCUUCCAUAAACUCUACCCUUAUAUUACUUAUGGGAAUCCUUUCUAUUAUGUUAGGAGGCUGAGGAGGACUCAACCAAACUCAACUAUGAAAAAUCUUAGCAUAUUCAUCAAUCACACAUAUAGGAUGAAUAAUAGCAAUUAUUACAUAUAAUCCAACUUUGACAAUAUUUAACUUAAUCAUUUACAUUACACUUACCAUUAACAUAUUUAUAUUUCUCCCCUACAACAAAAACUUCUACCCUCUCCUUAUCAAAUUUGUGAAAUAAAUUCCCCCUCCUAACCCC
rnacentral:lncRNA from 1 species